rnacentral:lncRNA from 1 species
CAAUCCAAAACCACAAGAAACAUUAACGAAGGCGGUGAAGAAGAUGGCUUUAGUUGCAGCACACCCACAUCUCAAGAACACAAGAUUCCUCCCGUCCUAGAUUCUCCACCUCCCCCGCCACGAAAACCUCGUCCACAGCCGUCAAAACCAUCUGCUACGGCGGCUUUGAUGAUCAGAUCGUGUAAGAGGAAGCUCUUAGUGUCGACUUGUGAGGUUAUCAUGAAUAGGGAAGAGAUAGACCGUUUCUUCACCUCCGUUUAUAGUGACACGUCGACCACAGCGAAACGAAGGAGAAGUUAUCCUUCUUGUGUCCGAAGAUGAGCCUUAGUUCAAGAAUUUACAUUUUUACAGUUUUACUGGAAAUAUUGUGAACUCAUAUAUAAAUUAAAAGAUUAUUAUAAGUUUCUUAUUUAUUUUAUAUUUAUAAAAUGGACGGAUAAUUUUCUGCAACCGCAUAUUAAUUUUCUCUAUUAAUUUCGCAUGGAGGUGUCGUUGUUGUAAAUUCCGUAUAAAUGAAAUUUAAUUCCAAUUGCCAAGUUUUCUAAUAAUAAUUGGGAUAUUUAUACCAUUUAUAGCAGACAUGAUCGACUUAUUAUCUUCCAGCGUCGUAGGUGAAAAUAGUAAAUUCGCAAAGUUCAAAUCAGUAAAAAUUUCGACUUCUACAACUAACAAAGAGUUAUGAACCAAAACAUCUGCAGCCUGCAGGCACAUUAAAUCUUACCAGUGAGCAUUGCUAGGUGGUGGUAACAUGUUCGUUUAAAUAUAUAUGAAAUCAUUGCAUUUAUGCAACUCAAUCAAGAAAAUUAAAUGAAAGAAAGUUCAUAAUCUGCUAUAGUUUCAUAUAUAUAAUAAUGCCUCAGACGCCAAUUUUUUUAUUUUCAUGCAGAUUUAUAUAUCUUUGGUAAGUUAUGUCAAAAUUUUCAAAAAUAUGUAUAUAUAAUUAAUAUUAUAAUUUAGUUAUAAUCGUCUAUCAAAAAUUUCAUUCAGUCACUUUCAUUAGUUGAAAGAAAUUUCUAAUAAAUAUUAUAUAUAGCAGUUAUUAGGUUAUCAAAAAUGCUAAUGAAUGACGUUUACAAGUAUUAGGUGCUAAUUUGGUAGAAGAUGUAUCUGUUGCGUGUCUUACUUUGUGAAAGCAACAACGCAGAGAAAAUGAAGCCUUGAUUUAUGCUAAUAUCUAAACUAUAUUUAGUAUAGCUUAGCAAAUAAAGUAUGCAAAUGAACUUAUCUAAACUAUAUUUUGAUCAGAAAGUCAUGCUUGCUUCUGACAAUUUGACCGGCCGGUAGACACAACUUUGGGAUCUGUAGAUACUAUGCCAUUCAUUUUUGUAAAGUAUAGUACUUAUUAGAAAUUAUUCUAAAGAUUUCAGAGUCCGAAGUUGAUACUCAUCCGUUAAUUCUUUACAAUCUCCAAAACCAUCACAUUGUACUUGGAAAAGAUUAUUGAAAUGAAUCCCAGCUAAUUCGUUUGGUGACCGGGAAUUAUGCAUAUGCCAUAUGUUAACAUGUAGUGAAAAUCUAGAUUGCUUUCACUUUUACUGGGGUACAGAAAGAAGAAGAUUACUCACCAGACCAACAAAAUUAAAUGUAGAGUAAUUAUAUGGUCCUGAGACAAACUGAAUUAAUGGACGUUAUUUUAUUUUUUUUUUCCGUCAAUAAUUUUAUUAGAUAACGGGACAAGCCCAAAGGAGUUACAAAGCCCAGCCAACAAGGGCAACAGAAAGACAUAAACAAGGCCCAAAAGCCCAACUCCGAAACCCUAGCAACCAGAAACUGAACCGAGCAUCGCCGCUCCCGUGAGUCACCACUACGAACCGCGACGAUACCCCUGCAUCAAGCCAACACCCGAUGACACCACCAAGGAACAAUCGACCGGAACACACCCGAGGUCGACCAUACCACACUAACUUCACCGCUAAAGCCAUCAACACGGAGGUUCUAUUUUCGGAGAGCAUCAAUCGCAAAAACGAGAUCUCAUCCGUCACUAUUAACCACCACCACCGAGAAAAGGACUUCGCACAAACCAUCACCAAUUACCCCGGAGAGCGUCAAUCGUACACCGACGAGAGCUCUUCCAUCACAACCAACCCGAAAUCGCAAAAAACUAAAAUAAAACCGUAAAACGAGAGUAGAAAGCCACUAGCCGGCGACGCAAGGCCAGAAACACCUUCACCCCCCGGAGACUAAACCGGCGACAGCAGAGCUGAGAGAGCCUCCGCCUCCCGGGAACAAAGCCGGCGGCGAUGGAGCUCUAGAAGCCUCCAUCUCCCGGAAACGACAACCAAUCGAACAAACCGACUUCACCACGCCCAUCCUCCACACAAUCGCGUCAUUACUCCAGUUGCAGCGCCACCCCUGAAGCCGGUUCACUCACGGAGAUGACGACGGCGGAGGAGGCCCGGACCAGAGCUUUGACAAGGCGAUAGAUAAAGGACACGUAGGUGAAGCCGAAAAACUUUAUCAGAAGAAGAAAGAACAAAGGACGAGGGGCUCCGGCGGCGGCACGCACGCUCACGCGCCGGCCGACGCCGGAGUUCUCAAUCAGAUCUACUUUCUCUCUCAAACUUUCUCUCUCAAACUUUCUCUCUCAAACUUUUUUAUCCCGACAUGGACGUUAUUUUAUUAGACCAAUAAAUUUGAAUGGAAAUUAAAUAUAGAGGUAAUGAUAUGGUCCUGCAGCUACGAAAGAGGAGCCAUGUCUACGCAACCAACAAGUAAACUGUCUUACAACAUAAGCUACUCUUUUUCACUUCUUCAUGAUUGAGUUGUUCUGUUAUACAAUAGGAGAAAAUCAAGUGUGUAUAUACCGUAUCGUCUCUUUUAUUAAAACAAAAAGGCAUAACGGUAUGCCGUGAUUUAUGAAUGCAUGCUUUCAAGUUUAAAAAAAAGGCAUAACGGUAUCAUCAUGUCGCAUGUAAGAUGAGCUAUAUUUUCCUGACUAAUUAAUGUAUUUAUUUACUUUCUCUUGUAAGAAAAAGUAUUUCAAAAAUCAAACAAAAUUACAAAUAUAUAUAACUUCGGCUUUGUUUUGAUUCACUAAGAGGCAUCUGUUUGGUUUUAAACAAAUUUGACUAAAACGUUUCUUAUGAAUCAAAGGUUUAGUUUAGUUUACACACUUUGGUUCUGUCAGUUGCCCAUAUGAAUAUAUGAUUAUAUCAAAUUUUGAUCGGUAGAAAACAUAAUUCUAAAGAACAACUCUAUCCAACCGGUUUACAUGGGAAAACAACAGUUCCAUUUUUGUUUGGUUUGGUUUAUUGGCGAUGAAGUUCUAUAAAGAUGUGUAGAUCCAAUGUGUAUCGGACCGGACAUCCCUUGGGAUCUUGUAAGGGCCAUCAGGCCCAUGAUAAAUAGUUAAUAUUCGAGCGAAUGUAGUGAAAGUUUUAGCAGCAUAUUUAAUAUAGGUCUCAAGUUUGAGAGAGAAAGAGAGAGCUCAGAAGAGAGAGAUGGGAGAGAUUGUGUUUACGGAGAAGCAAGAAGCUUUGGUGAAGGAGUCUUGGGAGAUACUAAAGCAAGAUAUCCCCAAAUACAGUCUUCACUUCUUCUCACAGUAAUCAUAUCUACAUAAAACCUUUAUACAAAUCUAUGUAUGUUGUUUAUAUAUGUGAGGUUGUAAACAAUAUAAUGAUGUAUAUAUAUAUAUAUAGGAUACUGGAGAUAGCACCAGCAGCAAAGGACAUGUUCUCUUUCCUAAGAGACACAGAUGAAGUCCCUCAUAACAAUCCUAAACUCAAAGCUCAUGCUGUUAAAGUCUUCAAGAUGGUAUUUACUUGCCUUUUUUGUUUAAUAUUCUGUUUUGUGAUUUAUACAUAUAUGUAUGUGUGUGUGUGUGUGACUUGCAUAGAAUCGUAUCAUAAUCUUAGUUAAAAUGGCCCAUUAUGACAGCUAAUUAAGAAUCUUUAUUGACUCGUCCGUUUACAUCAUACAUUCUAUAUUCGCGUAGACAUGUGCACACGAUAGCGGUCUAUCUUGUUUGAACUUGGCUAGUUGGCUUUGUCUUCUUCUUGGAGAUAAUAUUAUUGGUUCGUCUUAGUAAAGAACAAUUAAAUUAUAUUGGCUCAUUCGUAUAAUCCACUUAAAACAAACAUACAUCUUCCUUCUUUUUUGACAUUCACAAACAUACAUUUUCCUAUAUAUCACCAGAUAAAUAUUACUGAAGAAUCCAAGUGGUUCAGUUUGGCUUAUAUUUAGUUGGUAAAGUAGGAAUAAGUAAAACUAUAAGCCAGUGGUUAGACAGAUAUCUACUAAAGACCUGUUUUGAAAACCCUAGUUUUUUAACCAUGAAAACUAUAUCAAUUUUAUGGUUUUAAACAUAUUUUUUGUGGGUGUAGACAUGUGAGACAGCAAUACAGCUGAGGGAGAAAGGAAAGGUAGUGGUGGCUGACACAACCCUCCAAUACUUGGGCUCUGUUCAUCUCAAGAGCGGUGUUCUUGAUCCUCACUUUGAGGUAUUUUUUCUUAACAUUAUUUUUUAUUAAUUUCCAACUAAAAGAAACUAAAUAAAUGCGAGUGUGUGGAUUCAGGUGGUGAAAGAGGCAUUGGUGAGGACACUGAAAGAAGGGUUGGGGGAGAAGUACAAUGAAGAAGUGGAAGGAGCUUGGUCCAAGGCUUAUGAUCACUUGGCUUUAGCCAUUAAGGCCGAGAUGAAACAAGAAGACUCACAAAAACCCUAAAUAUCAUUUGGGUAUUAUAUCAUUAUAUCAUUUGGGUACUUUGACUUUCUACAGUUCAUUGUUUUUGAAUAAGGAUUAUGAGAUAUCAUAAGAAGAGAUACAUGGUACCUUGUUUCUCUUGAAAAUGUUUUUUGUGAGAAAGAAGGUACGGCUAAAAGUUAAACCGACAAAUGAAACCGGUUUGAUCGGUUCUAUCAUACAAUCAUCAAUCAUGGCUUGACAUGGUCUAUAUAUGGGGAUCAAGCAAAAAUUUAACAAAUUGUAAGAGAGUGGGCCGUGGCUCAUGAUUUUGAUUGAGGAAGAAGAUUGUGAGUUAGUGGCUUAUUAGUUAUAUUUAAUUAACUAAAAUGAAAUGAAAUGUGUCCAUAAAUAUGUAAUUAACUAAAAUGAAAUGUGCAUCAACGUACAAUAUUAGUUAUAUUUAUCAAAUGGUGUAUCUGUAUGCACAAAUAUGAUUAUUUCAUCCCAUCAUUUUUGUGAAAUAUCACUCAAUUAGUUAUGUUUUUCUUUAAACAGAGGUACAUGAUGACACUCAACAACUGAAAAAAAAACAACUGAUGUCAGAAUAAAUAUGUGUAUGCUCCUGGUUUGAUCCCUUUCAGAGAGUUUACAUGGCUGAAACAAUCUGCAGAGACAAUGCUCCAAGAACUUAGAGACGAACAUGAACUUAAACUAGAGGAAGAUUUAGAAAAACAAUGAAGGUUUCUGGAAUAAUAUAAAAGAUUCCGAACCUGUUCUUUCUCAGACAUCAAUAAAAAUCCCAUUCUCUUGUUCUCCAAUCUCACAGGGGGUUAUGCGAUAGAAUAGGCUCGUAUAACCUCAAGGAUUGGCGCUCUACACAACGGGCAUUUCCCUCCGGUUCGGACCAGCUCGUAACCACACUUUGAGCAAGUGCACAUGUGCCCACAUCUACAUAUUAACACAGAGAUAUGAUCAGACACUAGUUCUGGUACUGUAAAUCACAAACAAUUUUACCUGUACAAGAGGGCAUCUAUGUCGGCAUCGCAGCAGACACAACAAGUCCCAUUCCUUACAUGAGCCCAUCUUGACCCAUCUUCGGAUGUUCCUGGUCCAAGACCUGAUAACAUCAUCCAUUUAAUUAAACAUAUCAUUAGAUAUACAUACUAGAGAUGAAAUUUGGAUAGAAAGGAGGGAGAUAAAAAAACCUUUGUCACUAGGAGAUUGGUUUAAAGCUGCAGAGACCUCUUGUCUAACCAAACGCUGCAGCUCAGACUGCAUAUCCAUACAAAAAACAAUUCUCGACCGGUUUUAACACUGCAAAACAUGUUAGUAGAUAAUACCAAAAAACAUUUUAGUAGAUCAUUUUUCGAAAUUACUUUUGGUUAAACAACGUUUCCUUAAGAUUAAUUUACCAUGGCAAUCAUUAAAUUAGCUGCAUUUUAUUGAUAAAAUCAUAGAGACUAAAGAGCAUUUAAACAUUCCCUAUAAGAGUUUCUAAGAUGCCUCGCUAUUUACCGAAUACAAUAUUAUUCCAUUAAAAACUCAUUGAAAAUAAAAAAAAAACAUUAUUCAGAAAACUAGGUAAACUCUAUCAAAAUGGCGAACCACGUGUGCUCUAGUUGUACAUACAUACAAAUACAACUAUACAAGUGAAUUUAUCAUCCCUUCCUUAGUAGUAAUACUUUAUUUUACUAAAUUCAGAAAUUUACGUCCAUUCUCCUUCUUAUAUAUUUACAUUGCUUAUCUUCAUUUUUGUGUUCAAAAAAAAAAAAAAAAAAUCUUCAUUUUAUUUUUCUCUCAAUCAUGUCAAAAGGUAACUUUCGUUUCCAAAUGCGACAUUCUAACUUUAUGUAUCUAUAUAUAUAUGUGUAUGUAAAGACACAAACACAUAUAACAACCCCCUCUCAACCUCACUUCCCCAACAAGUUUUCUACAUCCAUUUUACCAAAAAAAAAAGUUUUCUACAUCCACAAAAAAAAAAAACUUCCACAGCAAACAAGAACAUACUUCAGAUAUGGAUCCUGAUUUAUUACAAGAUCUGUCCAAAUUCAACUUCCCAGCAACCAUCAAGAUCCAAUCCAAAACCACAAGAAACAUUAACGAAGGCGAUGAAGAAGAUGGCUUUAGUUGCAGCACACCCACAUCUCAAGAACACAAGAUUCCUCCCGUCCUAGAUUCUCCACCUCCCCCGCCACGAAAACCUCGUCCACAGCCGUCAAAACCAUCUGCUACGGCGGCUUUGAUGAUCAGAUCGUGUAAGAGGAAGCUCUUAGUGUCGACUUGUGAGGUUAUCAUGAAUAGGGAAGAGAUAGACCGUUUCUUCACCUCCGUUUAUAGUGACACGUCGACCACAGCGAAACGAAGGAGAAGUUAUCCUUCUUGUGUCCGAAGAUGAGCCUUAGUUCAAGAAUUUACAUUUUUACAGUUUUACUGGAAAUAUUGUGAACUCAUAUAUAAAUUAAAAGAUUAUU